rnacentral:rRNA from 1 species
AUUGAACGCUGGCGGCAGGCCUAACACAUGCAAGUCGAACGAGUGGCGGAGGGGUGAGUAAUGUGUGGGAAACUGCCUGGUGGAGGGGGAUAACUAGGGAAAACGGGCGCAUAUAGCGCAUACCAUGAGAUGUGCACAGAUGUGAUUAGCUUGUUGGUGGGGUAACGGCUCACCAAGGCGAAUAUCCCUCGCUGGUCUGAGAGGAUGACCAGCCACACUGGAACUUAGACACGGUCCAGACUCCUACGGGAUGCCGCAUUGGGGAAUAUUGCACAAUGGGCUCAAGCCUGAUGCAGCCAUGCCGCGUGUAUGAAGAAGGCCUUCGGGUUGUAAAGUACUUUCAGCGGGGAGGCGUUACCCGCAGAAGAAGCACCGGCUAACUCCGUGCCAGCAGCCGCGGUAAUUC